rnacentral:tRNA from 1 species
GGAGGUGUAGCUCAGUGGUAGAGCAUUUGCCUAGCAUGGGUGAGGCCCUGGGUUUCAUCCUUAGCACCACCA